rnacentral:misc_RNA from 1 species
UACGAAGGGGGCAAGCGUUGUUCGGAAUUACUGGGCGUAAAGGGCGCGUAGGCGGCCAUCUUUGUUAGGUGUGAAAGCCCUGGGCUCAACCUGGGAAUUGCACUUGGGACGGGGUGGCUUGAGUUCGGGAGAGGAGAGUGGAAUUCCUAGUGUAGAGGUGAAAUUCGUAGAUAUUGGAAAGAACACCGGUGGCGAAGGCGGCUCUCUGGACCGAUACUGACGCUGAGGCGCGAAAGCGUGGGUAGCAAACAGG